rnacentral:rRNA from 1 species
GUGGGGAAUAUUGGGCAAUGGGCGCAAGCCUGACCCAGCAACGCCGCGUGAAGGAAGAAGGCUUUCGGGUUGUAAACUUCUUUUACCAGGGACGAAACAAAUGACGGUACCUGGUGAAUAAGCCACGGCUAACUACGUGCCAGCAGCCGCGGUAAUACGUAGGUGGCGAGCGUUAUCCGGAUUUAUUGGGUGUAAAGGGCGUGUAGGCGGGACAGCAAGUCAGAUGUGAAAACCAGAGGCUCAACCUCUGGCCUGCAUUUGAAACUGUUGUUCUUGAGUGUCGGAGAGGUAAUCGGAAUUCCGUGUGUAGCGGUGAAAUGCGUAGAUAUACGGAGGAACACCAGUGGCGAAGGCGGAUUACUGGACGAUAACUGACGCUGAGGCGCGAAGCGUGGGGAGCAAACAGGAUUAGAUACCCCGGUAGUCC